rnacentral:rRNA from 1 species
UUGGAGGGCAAGUCUGGUGCCAGCAGCCGCGGUAAUUCCAGCUCCAAUAGCGUAUAUUAAAGUUGUUGCAGUUAAAAAGCUCGUAGUUGAACUUCAGACCUGGCUGGGCGGUCCGCUUAACGGCGUGUACUGUCUGGCUGGGUCUUACCUCUUGGUGAGCCGGCGUGCCCUUUAUUGGUGUGCGUCGGGGAACCAGGACUUUUACCUUGAGAAAAUUAGAGUGUUCAAAGCAGGCCUAUGCCUGAAUACAUUAGCAUGGAAUAAUAGAAUAGGACAUCGGUUCUAUUUUGUUGGUUUCUAGGACCGCUGUAAUGAUUAAUAGGGAUAGUCGGGGGCGUCAGUAUUCAAUUGUCAGAGGUGAAAUUCUUGGAUUUAUUGAAGACUAACUACUGCGAAAGCAUUCGCCAAGGAUGUUUUCAUUAAUCAGUGAACGAAAGUUAGGGGAUCGAAGACGAUCAGGUACCGUCGUAGUCUUAACCAUAAACUAUGCCGACUAGGGAUCGGACGGUGGUUUUUUUAUGCCCCGUUCGGCGCCUUACGGGAAAC